UUUGGGGUGGAUACGUGGUCA
rnacentral:miRNA from 1 species